rnacentral:rRNA from 1 species
UACGUAGGCAGCAAGCGUUUGUUCGGAGUUACUGGGCGUAAAGGGUGUGUAGGCGGUUGUUUUAAGUUUGGUGUGAAAAUCUCCCGGCUCAACUGGGAGGGUGCGCCGAAUACUGAAUGACUAGAGUGCGGGGAGAGGAAAGUGGAAUUCCUGGGUGUAGCGGUGAAAUGCGUAGAUAUCAGGAGGAACACCGGUGGUGUAGACGGCUUUCUGGACCGUAACUGACGCUGAGACACGGAAAGCGUGGGUAGCAAACAGG